GGUCGGCUGGUGUAGUGGUUAUCACAUCUGUCUUACACACAGAAGGUCGCAGGUUCGAUCCCUGCGCCGACCA